GUGGGGAAUAUUGGACAAUGGGCGCAAGCCUGAUCCAGCCAUGCCGCGUGAGUGAUGAAGGCCUUAGGGUUGUAAAGCUCUUUUAUCCGGGACGAUAAUGACGGUACCGGAGGAAUAAGCCCCGGCUAACUUCGUGCCAGCAGCCGCGGUAAUACGAAGGGGGCUAGCGUUGCUCGGAAUCACUGGGCGUAAAGGGCGCGUAGGCGGCGUUUUAAGUCGGGGGUGAAAGCCUGUGGCUCAACCACAGAAUGGCCUUCGAUACUGGGACGCUUGAGUAUGGUAGAGGUUGGUGGAACUGCGAGUGUAGAGGUGAAAUUCGUAGAUAUUCGCAAGAACACCGGUGGCGAAGGCGGCCAACUGGACCAUUACUGACGCUGAGGCGCGAAAGCGUGGGGAGCAAAC
rnacentral:rRNA from 1 species